rnacentral:rRNA from 1 species
GACAUAGGUGGCGAACGUUAUCCGGAAUUAUUGGGCGUAAAGGAUGCGUAGAUGGCAGAAUAAGUUACUGGUCGGUGCCAAACUCAAUUUGACGGAAGCUGGUAAUACUGUUCUGCUAGAGGGCAGGAGAAGUUGAUGGAAUUCUGUGUGGAGCGGUGAAAUGCGUUGAUCUACAGAGGAACACCAAAAAAGGCGAAGGCAGUCAACUAUUCUGUUCCUGACAUUGAGGCAUGAAAGCGUGGGGAGCAAACCGG